CCGUCCGGGAGUAACUAGCCGAAAGGUUAGCUAAUACCAGAUACGCUCAUCGUGCGGCAUCGCACAAUGAUGAAAGCAGCAAUGCGCGGAUUGAGGAGGCUGCGGCCCAUUAGCUAGUUGGUGAGGUAACGGCCCACCAAGGCGACGAUGGGUAGCUGGUCUGAGAGGACGACCAGCCACACUGGGACUGAGACACGGCCCAG
rnacentral:rRNA from 1 species